UACGUAGGGGGCUAGCGUUGUCCGGAUUUAUUGGGCGUAAAGAGCGUGUAGGCGGCCAGAUAGGUCUGCUGUGAAAACUCGAGGCUCAACCUCGAGAUGUCGGCGGAAACCAUUUGGCUAGAGUCCGGAAGAGGAAAGUGGAAUUCCUGGUGUAGCGGUGAAAUGCGCAGAUAUCAGGAGGAACACCAAUUGCGAAGGCAGCUCGCUGGGACGUUACUGACGCUGAGGCGCGAAAGCGUGGGGAGCAAACAGG
rnacentral:rRNA from 1 species